GUCGAGAUUGACACAGCGGAUUAUGUGUCAUCAGGACCGUCCAUUCGAAACCCCAGAGCGCGAGCGGUAACUUUAAGGGUUAAACUUUCCAGUUUGAAUUUAGACAAUCAUGCAAAGAAAAAACUUAUUAAACUUGUAGGCGAGCGGUACUGCAAGACUACUGAUGUGCUCACUAUCAAGACAGACAGAAAACUGAAGAAUGGGAAAAAAAUAAGACUGAGGAAGACAUGGAUGAGUAUGUGUGGGCGAAGAGCUCCUCGGAGAACAGCGUCCUCCAGACCCUGCUGCAGAUGAGAGCUGCCGAGAGCAGUGUGGCGCCGAGCAGAGAAGAGCUGCUGGGGACUAAAGAGGUCGAAGAUUACCAGAAGUGUGUCGUUCGUCUCAAGAAUGAGGGGGAGAACGAGGCAAGCCUUGCUCAGUACAAAGAGUCUGUGAAGAGAUUAUUAAAUUUGGCCUGAAGUCUG
rnacentral:lncRNA from 1 species